UAAGGGCUGGCAUUUCCCAUCUUAGCUUGGUGGGCCACAACCAAAGAUAUCAAGACCAAAGUUGAAAAGGCAGAUUUGAUUCCGGAAAAAACAAAUGUGAAAGGAGAAUUCUCUGGAAGACUGGAAGCAUGAAAAGUGGGAAGUAGGGGAACAGGGCAUUCGGAACAGCCUGCAGACAAGCAAGUGAGGAGAGACAAGCCAGACACCAGGCAGGCCCCAACAAAAGAAAAGAGGUCUCCCAGGAGAGAGGGGCCGGAACUAUAAGGAACUCAGGAAAGAGGUCUGCCACAACUCCAGCCUGGCUGCCCCUAGCAGGAAUCUCUUAAGCAUAUACUGUGUAUGGCAAGGCCUUCAGCCAGAGCUCCACUUUCAUCGUGCAUCAGAUAAUCCACACCUGGGAGAAGCCGUGUGGGUGUGGGUAGUGUGGCAAGGCCUUCAUGCAGAGCUCCCACCUGACCUAGCCCCAGAGGGUACACAUGGGGAAGAAGCCCUUUGUCUGUGGCACAUGUGGCAAGGCCUUCAGUCAGGGACCAAGCCUAGUCGUGCACACAGGGUGGAAGCCACACAUGUGCCCAUAGGGUGGCAAGACCUUCA
rnacentral:lncRNA from 1 species